AACUUCAUUAAGAUCAAUUCAUGGACAAUACUGCCCUAACCAAAACUACUCCCAACGCGGAACACUCAUUUCCAAAUACUUCAACGUUUAUCACCAGGUGCCCAAGAUAGCGAAUUCACUACUAGACAAACCCUAGACGAACAGACCCGAACCCAAUUCCGAACUGACAAUUCACUGCACGAAUAGCACGAUAAACCCGAGGGACUCGUUCCCGACAGCCACCCACACACCGAAUCAACACGAGCAUGCGGUUCGGCUGACAGGGACCGCAACCUUCGGGGGGGUGACUGACCUGGAGGUUGUUGGACUUGAUGUAGGACCAGACGCGCAUGAAGCAGCCGAGGCGGGAGGUCUGGGACUGACCCACGAAGUCGCGCACGGUCGAGGGCAGGUUCACGAGGUCGAUCAGGUUGGCCAGCUUCUUGGGGUUGUCGGCGACGGCCCUCUUCAUCCUCUGCGGCAACAUUUUCCUCCUUCCUCUGCGACGGCGUUUCUUCAGAGCGGAGGCUGUUUUCAGUCGGUCUCCCUCGCUCCCAGUCCCUCCCACCCAGCGAGCGAGAGGCGGCGCGAGUUGUAAAAUUGAGUCGGCUCGCGGACCGGGUCUGUUUUAGCAUUGUAAAUUCUCAAGAUUCUACUUUUAAUUCACCAAAAAUACCUAAAAAUCUUUUUUUUCCUCGUAAUACUAAACUUAGGAUUAAGAUACUCUUGUUUUCAAAUUUUAAAGAGAAAAUAAUUGGUAGAAGUAGGAAAUAGUUUUUUUUUUUUAUGGCUUUCAUAUAGGCUGACUGGGUUGCUAAAGCUCAGGGCCGCGGACUAUUGGGCUCCAAUUGGGCUUCUCUCCCACCCCCUCCCCUGUUUAAUUUGCUGUGUAAUGACGCCCUUUCUCAGGGUUGUAACCUUUUCUCCUCUUAAUAUUACGUUAUGUUUCCGACCAAAAAAAAAAAACUAAUGAAAAAUUAGUUCUUUUUUAAGGAUGAAAUUUGGGAGCUGUUCGUAUGAUGCUCUCGGAAGUUGAGGAGAUAUUUUUUUCUUGAAGAUAAAAGCUGAGGGACUUUAGGAAAACCGCAAAAAUAUCGUGCCAAAACAGAUGGGACUUCUCCGGUACAAAGGGCUUACGAUUAGAAGAAAGAAAUAGGAAAGAGAGGGAAGAAACAAGGAUGGUCAAUAAGGCAGCAAAAUGAGUUGAGCGUGCAAGAGAAAAGGCCCUCUGUGUAAGAAGAAUGAUCAAUUCUUUGCAAAUUAGAGUUUCAUUCAUCAAUCUUUAUGAAGGAAGACAUUGUUAUAUCUAUUUAUACAAAGAAUGCGAUAGUCAAUUCUUCACUCCUUAAACUAUAGUUAUCAAUUCCUGGAUAGGCUGAUUCUCAUCCUAGAAGCAAGAAUUGACUCAUUUGAUUCCGGACUCAACUGGAAAUUGGACCAACUAGCGACACUUCAAUGAGAAUUCUCUCUAUCCCUUCCACGGCCAUCAAGCACAAUCCAUGAAAGACAUCUCAAUGACUUUCUGGAACAAACGAAAUUUCUCAUGACAGAUUUUCAUAUGCUUUUUAUAUUAAUUAAUUACCCCGAGGAUGAGACAUGUGUCGUGUGCGGUAUAUACUUGGGAUAUUUUCAAUUUUUGUUUUUGGGAGUUGAUAUUAGUGCUUUUAUCUUAAUCUUCAGUUGCUUUUGAAAAGAAAUACCAAAUCGAGACUCUGUGCUUGCGUAAAAUGCCUCCAAUGCAUCGCAUUAGGGCAACUUGACCAAGACUCGGGCAUGCGUUGAUUGGUUACUUUAAUUUAUAUUAAGAAGUUGUACGGGUUGUUACUGGUACAAAGGGUGGGGCAAAAAUAACUUGGAAAUAUGUCGGUCUUGCAUGUAUCUCCGCUGGUAUUGUUAGUAAUGUCUCUGAAAUUAAGGGAGGGAUUUUCCGUUAUUUAAAUCCCCCCAUUAGACCGCUACGAAUUAAGAAAUGAUCGUGAGAUUUUGCGGACGAAACAAAUGUUAGGCACCCAUCAAUUGAAUAUUUCAUUGAUUGUUGUAGAACUGUGAUAAAGAUAGAGAGAUUGUUUUGAUCAAAGGAAUGAGCUACACAAAUAGUUCUUAAUGGCUAUAUAAACUAGCGAUUUGAGACAAAAAUUCAAACUUUAGGACAUAAAAUGUAAUAUUGCAAAAAUCGGAGAGCUAAUAUGCGACAGGACCAAAACUCAGGCAGAUUUUGCGCCAUCAUUCAAAUUUUAAAUCAUCAAGAACUAGAUGCAUUAAGGGAGUGAAAAUCGAUAAAAUUAUUUGACAUUUGUUAAUGAGUUCACAUUGCACAAAAAGGAGUCUUGUAUGCAUGUUCUUUGGGGCUUCUUUAGUAUUCUGUCAAAAUCCCGAUUCAAUUUUUUUCCAGACUCCUUUCAGUUCAUUAUAUCGUGGUGUUAUAGGUAGAGUAACAAUUAGCCUUAUAUUCAUAUUUAUCUUCCAUCUGGUAAAAAAUCUAAAUGGGAUGCUUUGCAAGAUUCAUUAUUAUUUUCAUUAAUCUUAUGAAAUUCGAGGUGCAAAACCUCACACGAUCAACUGGCUUUGGAGGGUGUCAUCGAAAUUGUAUAACGUGAUGUGGUGAUAAAGUAUCAUGCAUCCGUUAAAUUUCUUGUUCAAUAGAAAGGUUAUGCUCUGUUUCCAAUGGAAUUAUAAAUGAUCAACAUAAAAUUAAGGGUUGAACUUUAUUUCUUGAGCAUCGCGGCGCACUUGAAAAACCCUAACAAAUCCCCCACGAAUUCGCCAUACUCCCAUGCCAUCACCGCGAAUCGCAGCCACACAAGUACUGCCCCCUCCCUUUCCUUCCUUUCUCUCUCUCUUUUUCCUUCUUUUUUUCUUCUUGUUUUUCUCGGCUUUUGAUGAAGAAGCGUGGGACGAUAAGGUGUACGCAGCACGAGAGCGUUGGGGAGGUUCGGGUCGGUCAAAUCUUUUAAUUCUUUGAUCUUUUUCUAUUUUGUUUUUCCAGAAAUUGAAAAGAUAAGAGAGAAACGAUUUUCCAAUAUGGGAAAAGGGGGAAAGAGGUGGAGGAUCCACACCAAUUCGGCCAUGAUUCGGUGGUGGGUUUUUUGCCUUUAGGGGGGCCAGCUGUUCCUCCCCCAAUCGGCCCAGCACCACCACCCUCCCCUUCCUCACCUUAUCCUCCAUCAUUGUAGUUGUCUCCCGACACCAUCACUACAAAAAACGGUUCGUAUUCAUUUAUAUUUAUUGAGCAAAUUUAAUAAACAAAUUUUAAAUUACUAAUACACCAGCGGUACACAUCAUAAAGAUUAAUCGCUCUGUUAAACAUUACGGUACUUUCGAAUCGGGGAUUAGUUCUUAUGCGGGAGUAGUUGUUGUAAAUUAUAAUUUCGGUUGUCUUGAUUAUCCUAAGUUUUUGUGGGCAAAAACCAUUAUAUGAACAUUUAGCCUCAAAAUAUAAGCUAAGCUGACCACAAACCACUCCAUCGGAUCAAACGCGCAUGUCAAAACUACUAGCUUGAAAUGAAAUUUGCAAGAGAAAUUCCAACACCACUUAUAUACUAAGAUACGCUAUACUAUACUAAGAUGAGAUGGGAGCAAAAUAAGAGACUUCCCAAUUAUUAAAAGAAAGAAAAGGAAAAAAUAUACGGCCCAACCAUAAAAUAAGGAAAAAACCCCGAGAGUGAAAUAAUGCCUUAGAGUGAAUAGUGAACAGGAUGGCGGGCCCAACUUGCGCAUGGACUGGGCUCAGCAAGAGGCCUAUGUUCAAAGAAAGCAUGGGAAUAAAGGAAAUUUAUGGUAAUUAGUUUUUACUCAUAAAGAGCAUGGCCGAAGAUGUUUCUAUAAGUUUAUUGUUUUGAAGACCAAGUUUUAGCAUAAACUUUACGCUAUAGAGAUCGGGGAAUUCAGUUGACCUUCGACUAUUCAUAUAACUUUUUAAAUUGACAGGACCCACUGCUCACACAAAUGUCCCACGUUGAUAAUGAAACAUAUUAUUAAGGACGUUCCACCCAAAGACUUACUCUUUGAAUAGAAAAAAUAGUUGAUCCUAUACAUAGAUUUCAGGGUUGAUCCUUCAAGGCAUAAUUCUUCAGCAUAUUAAUCAAUUAACGACUUUGACUGAAUGAGUGAAAGCCAGUCUUCACUUUUAAUUCUUCAUGGACAUAUAAAGUUACGCACAUGAAAAGAUGGAAAAGGUUUCCGCAAAGAUUGAUGGCACUUGCUUCAUUUUUUUUUUCUAUUCUUUGCUUCUUCUUUUCUUUAAGUUGUGUACUUGACAGAUCAUAUUAGUCAUCUUCUCAAUUCAAAUGAUAUACAAUUAUACCAAGAAAUAUGGAGAGAAGACAUUAGAAACAAGCCUUCGUAAGGGAAAUGACAUUUCAAGCUAUCCUGGUAAUAUCUUUAUUAACUCAAUUUACAAUGCUAGUUUACAAAGGCAACUCCUCAGACAAUUUCAUUAUCCAUGAAAUUUGAUGGCCUUCCCCUUUGGCUUCUCCAUCCACUCGGCCGCUAUUCUCUCUAGCAUUCUCACACCUCCUGUGAGCCAUUUGGGCCUUCCUGUUUCAAAUGCAAUGUAUGCUAUCGAAAUCCCAAUUACGAUUCCCGAUGCAUAGCCUAUCCAUACUAUUUUUUGUUUGAACCAACUCUCAUGCCCUUUGUGGUUGAAAGUUGAUGAGGACGAUGGUGGAGGAGACUGAGCAUCAUCAGGGCAUGCUUUUCGCAAUGGACUUCCACAUAAACCUGAAUUCCCACUAAAUGAGUCGCUUGAAAAUGUGCUCAAUUGCUUAUCUUGCGGAAUUCGACCGGUAAGUUGGUUCUUCGACAGGUUUAAGUAUCCAAGGAAAGUCAAAUCUCCCAAUUUUCUAGGAAUCACCCCACUUAGCUUGUUCGAAGAAAGAUCAAGCCAUUCAAGAUUAGUCAAAUUUCCUAGAGUCAGUGGGAUGGAAUCCGUAAUAUGGUUAUGAGAAAGGUUGAGCCCUAUGAGAGAGUGAAGAUGUCCAAUAACUUCAGGGAUAUUCCCUAGGAAAGAGUUGCAUGACAGGUCAAUAACUGUGAGGAAAGUCAAGAUCCUCACUAGCUCAACCUCUAGCCCUUUCAUCAUCACGGCCACCGAAUUUUCAUAUGUCCUCGAACUACUUGAUCGUGUCAUAUACAAUGAUGUGUCUUGCACAUUUUCACCAUUCAUCAUGUCUUCGAGGUUCAUUAUCAAGUUGAUUGGCAAAGGACCGCUAAAGUUGUUGUUGGAGAGGUCCAAAAUGUGUAACUUGAGAAAGAGGUGAGCCCCCCUGGGAAUCUCCAAAAGACCCUUCAUAUUGUUGGACCUUAAAAUGAGAAUUUUCAGUUCUGGGAGUGUUCCCAACCAUCUUGGAAAUGUAUCCUUUAUCUGAUUGUGACUGAGAUCCAGAACUUCUAGAUUUCUACAUUCAACAAGCGAUCGGGCCAAUGUGCCUUCAAAUCGAUUUCGACUCAAGUCAAGAGUCAUCAACCCACUUCUCAAAGGAAAAAAAUUGAGGAAUUGUGCCAUUGAGGUAAUUCAUUCGCAAGUUCAAAACCAAUAGAUUAGUGCUAAAAUUUGUUAAGCACCAAGGCAAGCUACCUGUUAAGCCAUUGUUGGAAAAGUCAAUGAUCUCGAGCUCGGUGGCAUUGCAUAUCAAAGAGGGGAUCUUUUUGGUUAUCUUAUUACUUGCAAGGGAAUAAUAAGAUGUGAUAGGAGAUGGAAGUGGAAUUGGCCCUCCAAACUUGUUGUUGGACAAAUCUAUGAUAGCUAAUGAUGUGUUUGAAAAAAACUCUAUGGGCCACCUUCCAGUGAAAUUGUUGUUGGAAAUAACUAAAAUUUGAAGAGUAGGGAAGGAGAGUCCAAAGAUAGUGAGGUUGAUCCUACCAUAAAAUUUGUUCGAUCGCAAAUCAAGGGCAUACAAUUGCGAUGCUUCCAGCCAAUGUGGGAAGAUAUCAUUGAACUUGUUGUGAUCGAGAUAUAAUGUUGAUAAGUUCACGCAUUUAACUAGGGAGCGUGGUAAUGGUCCUUGCAAUUUAUUAUUGCUCAAAUCUAGAGUCUUGAGAUUAGUUAUAUUGCCAAAACAUGAUGGCAUAUUCCCAGAAAAAUUACUAUUAGAUAGAUGUAAAUAUUGGAGUGAGCUACAUUGGCAAAAUGAGGAGGGGAUCUCACCGCUGAAACCAUUGUCGGAGGCUGAAAAGUAAAAAGUAGAAGGUGGAGGAUUGGGGAGUGGUCCAUGGAAUGAGUUGUUCAUAAGGUCAAUGUACAACAAUCGCUUCCAGGGCAAUUGUUGUAUACCUCCCUCCAAAAGGUUAAAAGAAAGAUCUAAUAUUUCUAAUGUAUCAUGGCUUAUUCCCCAAAACCACAUCGGGAUCUCACCACUAAUCCUAUUAUAAGAGAGGUCUAAGUAUGUUAAUCUUUUCAAUGAAUUCAAGAAAUAGGGAAACUCGGUCAAGUUGCAAGAAAACAACCACAACAUUUCAAGCUUCGGGAAUAUGUACUCCGAUGUAUUGUAGGUUAGAUUUAGUUCUUGAGAAACAAAAAGCACUCGGAGAUUUUUAAGCUUUGUAAAUACUUCAAACUCUACCACCCCGCUAAAGCUAUUCCCAUAAAUCUGUAAAACUUGGAGUUGGUUGAGAUUCCCCAUUGACGAGGGAAUGUGUCCUGUGAAUUUGCAAUUGCUAAGAUCUAAAUCUAUUAAAUUCUUCAUGUUACCAAUUGAAUUGGAUAUUUCUCCUGAAAAUUUUGUGUCUGGGAUAGAUAAAGACUCAAGAGGACUGGUCCAAUUGAAUUUGGGAAGAAUCCCCGACAAAUCAUAAUUGGAACCUAUAUUGAGAGUGGUGAGGCAUGGUAAUCGAAAAACAGCAACUGGAAAUAUACCCCUUAAGGAACAAGACUCAACACUAAGAUAUGUUAAAGAAGAAGACAAAUUAACAAAGGACUUUGGUGAAACUGCGGACAUGUCUGCUUUAUGAAGAACAAGUUUUCUCAAUACUGUUAAAUUCUGAACAAGCAAUGUGAAGACCAAAUUUUCUAACCUAAGUGGAAUGGACGAGUGUGUGUCAAGUAUAUAAUGAGAGAGAUCAAGUGACACCAACUUGGAAAGGUGAGAGAUUUUGUGGGGAACAAUACCCGAAAAGUAUGAAUUAGAGAGAUUUAGAUGAGUCAAUGUUGCAAAAACACUCAGAUUUGGUGAAAUUCGUGAGCCAACAAAGUUAUUACCAGAAAGGUUGAGGCUUCGAAGAUGACGAAGGAGAAGAAGGGAGCUGUUAGAUUGGAGAGUGCCAUGAAGCCAAUUGCAAGUAAGAUCGAGACCGAUGACAUUGCCGUUGACACUGUCACAAGCGACACCGUCCCACGAGCAGCAAUCCACGCUCUUGUUCCAUGAGUUUGUCUUUGGAUAAGAUAGGACAUGGUCAUCCCAAUCACAAUAGUCUGUUGCCUCCUUAUCAAGCACAAAGGAAUUCUUAAAAUGUAGCAAGGCAUCACGUUGGUCAGGAGGGCAAAGGGACGAAGCAAAUUGAAGGGAGGAAUGUAAGAAAAAGUUGAAACAGAGGAUAUGGAGGAUCUGAUGCUGCUUCAUUUUGCAAUUUAGCAUGCUGUUGAGAUUAUUGGUGAUGGAGGAGAGUGCUUCCACUUAUAUAGCCUUUUUGUAGUGUGGAGUGAUCACACGAGCCUUCUCUUAAAGGUCAAAGUCAAAGUCUUCUCAAAAUGAAAAGAUUAGGGUCAUAGAAUCUCCAUGGUAAAUAGCCUUGGUGGGGUCAGUUGAGUGUGGAAAAUUAUUAGUGCCAUGGAAUUUUCAAUGGAAAACUCUUCUUGGAAAUUAAUCUCUCCAUUACUUGCUGACGUUUAAUUUAAAAGAAAUGCUUGUCAAGUAUUUUACCACUACAAUUAUGAGAAAAGGGAAAGAAAAUAUGCGGUUUGGUAGAAAUCAAAGUCUUCAUGAAACAACAUUACUGAGGUUACAUAUUUGGUAUUUUUUAUUUAUUUAUUGUCUUGGUCAGGUUUGUUGGGCUUGAAAAAAUUAGUGCCAUAAAAUUUCCAAGGAAAAGUUUUCUUGAAACGUCCUUUGCGAGCGAUGUCGUGCCACGAGUAUAAAUUCCAUGUCACGGCACUAGCAACUCAAUUUGAGAACUUACGAAUUUGAGUUUCCUAUAUUCUUUAAUCGCAAUUUUUCUUUUGUAUUUGUAAAUGAGGUAAAGAACGACAAGAGCGUAUUCUUUAUAUUUCAUUUGCUAGUAGAGAGAAUUAGGGUGAUUGUAAUGUCGAUUCGUCCAUUAAAAACACGGAUAAAAAUUCGUAACUUGGCUAUCAACAAUUAAUAAUUCUCUAUGAUAAAAAUUCGUAACUUGGCUAUCAAAAAUUAUAACUUUUAAUCCUGCCGAAAUCUUGUCAAUUCUUCACAUGAUUGGUUUCUUACAUGAAUUAUGGUUUAUUUGGUUAAGCUUUCAUAAGGUUUUUGGCCUCUAUAGCCCUUAGAGGAAAUGCUAAGGCAUUUAGCAAGCCUUUGCAAAUAACAUUUAAAGAAUACUUAAAUAGGGUUAAAUAAAUUUUUUUUUCAAAACUAUCCGCACCAAUUCUUAAAUUUUUUGAUUUUACUCCUCGUUGUUAUUGUUCAUCUUCUUUGUGAGGACGGCCGGCGAGGUCGUAUGGCCCACAAGAUGGCCGCCUGAGGUGGCGCGAUUGCUCGAGCAACGGUUGGCUAGGGUUGCGAGAACUCAAACCUCAUUGCCUGGGGUCGAGGUCGUGUGACCCUAGGCCUCUUGUGAUCCAGGUGGCCCUAGCUUGGGUCAUGCAACCCUCACCAGGGGUCACUUGAGGUCAUGUGUCCUCAACUAUUGACACUAGAUCUAGCUUGUUGGCGGCUGGAACCCUUCGUCAGGGCCAACGAAAAGUUUGAUUUCUUUUUAAUAAAAAAAAUUACUGUCAAAACUCUCUCAGAAUUUUUUUUUUACCAGAUAAUACUUCACCCAAAGUUGUUUUUCAAAUGAGUUUUUACCAAACACAAUUUGUAUUUCCCAAAGGGCUUUGGCUUUCGACCUUUGCAUUGUAUCCAAAACCCAUUUUUAAAGUCGAACCAAACCCACCCUUAAUGUGCUCGUUGUACUAGGUGGUUGGAUUAUUGUAAAUUGUUUUUAAUGUGUAAUAAAAGGUCUCAGAAGAUGUUAGGGCACUAAAUUGAACAUUUACUUUUUGGUUAUGUAAACAUAAGAUUUGGCACAUUUUCCCCAUAAGUGAUGGAAAGGAUGCUUGUCUUUGGAUAAGACACGACAUGGUCAUUCUAAUCAUAAGAGUCCAAUGCCAUGCUAUCAAGAAUGAAGGAAUUUUUAAAAUGGAGCAAGACUUGGCGUUGGUCAGGAGGGCAAAGGGGGCGGAGGAAAGCGAAGGGAGGAAUGAAAGAAUGAGUGGAAACAAAGGAAGUUGAGGAAUUGAUGAAUUUCCAUUUUGCAAUUUAGCAUGUGAGUGAGUUUAUUGACAUGGGAAGGUGCUUCAACUUACGAUAAAGCCAUUUUGUAUCGUGAAGUGAUCAACACGGGUCUUCUCUAGAAGUUUUAAGUCAAAGUCUUCUUAAAAUGGCAUUAUUGGGACACAAAAUUUCCAUGAUGGUGGUCUACUGCGUGUGGAAAAUUAGACACAUAAUUUCUAUGGUGGUGGUUUCUUGCGUGUGCGGAAAAUUCUUAGUGCCACAGAAAUUUCUAUGGAAAAAUCUUCUUGGAACGUCUUGUGUGCCCGAUAUCUUGCCACAUGUACAACACCCCAUAUCACGGCAGUCACGGCUCUACUUGAGAAUUGACGAAUUUGAUUGUUUACCAUUCUUUAAUUGCAGUUUUUGUCGGUUUUGGCAAAUAAGCUAAAAGUCGUACCCUUUGCCGAUGCCUUACAAGAAAGCAUUACCUAAUGAGAGUUCUCCCUUUUGCAAGUCAAAUCUUAUUUGCCGAAUUCAAGUAAAUUUGUUUAAACGUGUAUAUAGUAAGGUCACAAAGGGGUUUGGGGGAACCAAAUUGGACAUUUACGUUUUGAUUAUGUAAACACAAAAUAGGGCAUAUUUUCCUCGUAUGUGAUAGAAAAAGUGCCAAAGUAAUGGAUCAACUCAAAAAAUAAUUAAGUUAAUGGGGGCAUUUUAUAGAUCGGGAAUUUACGUAAAGUGGGCUAUCUUGCUAUUAAUGUAUAUCUUAUCCUUGCUUUGUCUUUUAUUAUCGAUAAAAUGGGGAGAAGUCGGCAUCUGAGACCUCUCUUCGAUAAAAUUUUCUAGGGAAGGUGUUUGGUGUCAAUUUGGCUGUCAACCACGAUUUGGGGAUUUAAGUGUGAGCCAUAUUAUUUUUAAGGUUCGAGACAUGAUGAAUGUUCGUCUAGCUUAAUUCAGGGAUUGAGCAUUGUGUUUGAUGGUUGUGUCGAUGCUUUAAGUCCAAGAAAUCAUCCUUCUACGUGAUGCUGCUUACUUUAAUAGGGUAAAUACACUAAGUUCUUACAAGUAUUAAUUUCACUGGAGCCAAUAUGUCCACCGAAGGGGGCAAGAGUCCGACGUGGAAAGCUUAUGCGAAACGAUCGUACUAAAAAAUUUUGUUGCUUGUGGUCAAAUUAUAGUCUUUGAUCAAUUGAUAGUUCAUGACGGCAAAAAAUAUUUCUCAUGUUGGAUUCUUGCCCACUUUGUUGAACACGAGCUGCAAGUAACCAAAUUUGGAGUCGAAAAGAUUGAAUUAGAAAGCCUUAUAAAUUUGAUGACUUGAUUAGACAAAAUUGAAGGGCCAAAGACUUUGUAUGGCCCAUAUAGGCAAGGUACACUAUUUCUUCUUCUUCUUCUUUUUUUGUUUUUUUUUGUUUUUAGUUCAUCGAGGUCUUUUACAUGACAGCACAUAUAAUUACAUUAUCUCAAUUCCUUUUCACUUUUCAAAUCGUGUAAAUGUUUAAUGGGUUUACUUUACAUGCAUCGGAAUGGGAUGAAAAAGCGCCAUUCGAAUGUGUAAAACGCCAUUGGUCACUCUAGAGUGCGAGUGAGUUUAUUGGUAGUGGAGGGGUGCUUCCACUUAUAAAGCCUAUCAAUAUUGUUAAGUGAUCAAUACAAGUCUUUUCUAGAAGGUCAAAGUCAAAGUCUUCUCAGAAUGACAUUAUUAAGACACAAAAUUUCCAUGGUGGGGUCACUUGGGUGUGGAAAAUUCUUAGUACCAAAGUACCAAAGAAAUUUCCAUGGAAAAAUCUUCUUGAAACGUCUCAUGCGUGCUAUGUCUUGCCAUGUGUAUGACACCCCAUUAUCACGGCACUCAUAACUAGUCUAUUUGAUAGAGUUUGACUAUCUUAAAAAUGCUUUGAUUGCAUUUUCAAGAUGGAGCAUGACAUCGCGUUAGUUAGGAGGGCAAAGGGGUGAAGGAAAGCGAAGGGAGGAAUGAAAGAACAAGUGGAAACAGAGGAGGUGGAGGAACUAAUGCCUUUCCAUUUUGCAAUUUAGCAUUUCCACUAAUGAUAAAGCUCCUUUUGUAUCAUGAAGCACGGGUCUUCUCUAUAAGAUCAAAGCAAAGUCUUCUUAAAAUGGCAUUAUUGGGACACAGAAUUUCCAUGUGGGUGCUCUCUUGUGUGUGGAAAAUUUUAGUGCAAUGGAGAUUUUCCAUGGAAAAAUCUUUUUGAAGCGUCUUGUGCACGCGAUGUCUUGAGAUGUGUACAACACCCAAUGUCACAGGCACUCACAACUUUACUUAAGAAUUAACAAAUUUGACUGUUUUAAUUUUUUAAUUGCAAUUUUUAUCGGUAUUUGUAAAUGAGCUAGAAAUAAUACGCUUUGUUGAGAAAGUAUUACUUGAUGAUAAUGCUCCAUUUUGCAAGUCAAAUCUCAUUUGCCAAUAAAGAGACAUAGGAAGGUUUCUAAUCAAUAAUUAGUAAUUCCUUCUGAUGAUAAAGCCAAGAAGCUUUUUAUUGGAUUAUGAAGGAAAUCUUCAUUACCAUGAAAUUAAAACUUUCAAAACCUAUUGAAAUCUUCUCUCAUCUUCACGUGAUUAGUGACUUGAUAUAAUAUGUCAAUUAUACUAAGCGUUCCAAUUCCUGUAAAUUGUUUAAAUGUGUAUAUAAUAAGAUCUUAGAGGGUGUUGGGGCACCUAAUUGAACAUUUACAUAUCAAUUAUGUAAACACAAAAUUUGGCAUAUUUUCCUCAUAUAUGAUGGAAAAGGUGCCAAAACAAUGGAUCGACUCAAAGAAUAAUUAAAUGAAUGGGGCGUACUUCGUAGAUUGGGAAUUUAUGUAAAUUGGUAUAUCCCGUUACGAAAGUACAUCUUUAUUUGUUUUGCACAUUUUUUUUUUAGAUAAUAAAAUGGGAGGAAGCUCGGAUCCAAGAGCUUUCUUUGAUAAAAAUUUGCAGGGAAGUUGUUUGGUGUCGAUUUUGCUGUCAAUUAUGAUUUAGGGAUUUUACGAUAAUCUACGACCCUCGUUGACUUGGAAAUAGCUGUGAUCCUUAGUCAUUUUAAAGGCCGGAGACAUGAUGAAUGCUUGCGAACUAUGUUCGUAUAGCUCACUACGGCAAAAGAUACUUUUCAAGUCGGAGUCUUGCUCACUUCGAUGAACAAAUGAGCUCCCGUUAAUUAAAUUUAGAGUUGAAAACAUUUCUUGGAAAAGCUAUAUAAAUUUAAGGGUUAAUAUCACGAAAAAUCCUAAACUGAUACACCUGUAACAAAUUUAUCCUAAAUGACCACAAAAAACACUAAACCGAUAUACUUGUGAUAAAUUAACCCAAAAUUAAUUUUUUUGAUCGCCAAAAACCUCAAACUGGUAUAAUUUUGACAAAAAUACCAUCCGUUAAAUUGGAUUAAUACCACAAAAACCACAAAAUUUGUAUAACUAUGACAAAUGGAGAGUAAAAUAUCAAACUAGUAUACUAGUCAACUAUCACCUAUCAUCCUACUUAGUAAUUUGAUAGUAAAAUUUAAUGAAAACUAAUAGAUGGUAAAUUUAUUACAAGUGUACCGAUUUGGAGUAAAUUUGUCAAAAGUAUACCAGUUUGAGAUUUUCGGUAGUCAAAAAAUUAAUUUGAGAUAAAUUUAUCAUAGGUGUACCAGUUUAUAGUUUUUCUUUGUAUUAACCCUAAAUUUAAUGACAUGAUUAGACAAUUUAAAGGUCCAAGGGCUUUGCACGGCCCUUAUAGGCAAGGCACACUAUUUCUUUUUUCUUUCUUUUUGGAUGAUUGAUAUGUGCCACUUUGAUAACGCAUCGAAUUACAUUAUUUCAAUUCCACUCUUUUCACUUUUCAAUUCAUGUAAAUCCUAUCUUCUGACUGAUUCGAAUCUUCAGCAUUUCCACUUGCUUUUGUGGCCUCGGAACUUGAUACCGUCUCUGUAUGCUCGGGAGAAGUAGAUGAUGAGAUUCCAUACCGCUGAAAUGGAGUAGCAGAGAAGGCGAACUGAUUUGAGGGCACCACCUGACGGAGCCAAGAUUAGAUGUGAAACGAACUUGAAAAAAAUGUCAGGUAGCUGAAGAUUAAUGUCACCGAAGGAGAAAUCAAACUAUUUCGAGGGAAUCCUAGAAGACCCAUUCUUUCUUUUCUUUUUCUUCUUUUUUCUUCUCCGAUAGAACAAUAUAGAGGACAUCGAAUGAUCGCAUGAGGUCACAAACCAGUUGUUGAAACAGAUGCUGGGAAUGCCAUCCAUCUAAAGGUACGAUCUUUCACCAACUAAUCGACACAAGGACAAUAACCGAACCUCAGCCGAGACAAUUACUACAGCGCUCGACCCCAACUAACAAAAUCAAAUGCCCAAUGCUCAACUCAACCGCGACAGCCUCGAGUUCUGUUGAUAAGGCACCGCUUGAGCUCAACUGAACAGAGCUCGAUUAACAUAAAGCACACAAGAAGUCGUUCAUUCGUUUAACCUCGCGAGCCAACGGAGUCCCAUAUCAUCAUGCGCAAACCCAAUAAGGCAAUAACCAACAAGUUUGCACUCUAGCCACUUCAUAAACCGCAACUCCAAAUCAAUUCCAAUCAAUCAAUCAAUCAAUCAAUCCACGAGGGAGACUGAAAUCCUAAGGCGCAACAAACUCACGAUAGAAUGAAAUUGAAGGACGCCACACGAAGAACCGAAUAUUCGAAGACCGUUGAAGACCGCAGACGCGGACGAGUUCUUGUCGAGUACCUUGCUCGGAGAACCGCACGCAAGCGCCCGGCGCCGUUCGGAGACGAGCGGCGGGGGAUGCGCCUGGGCCGGAGGAGAUGACAGGAGGGAGGCGGCCCGGCUCGCGCUCCGGGAAGCGCGGGACAGAAUCCUCGACAGCAGCAUUUCGCCGGCUCCGAUUGAAGUACAAAGCUGCGAGCUUUCUGGGGAACGGGCGGUGUCGGAAUCGGAAGAGACGGUGGGGGGUUUUUGAGGGGAGCGAACGUGCUUGGACGACAAGAAAAUUUGGAGGGUUUAAGGAAAAUAAAACCAACUGGACAUCGUUCGAGCUUGUUCUUCAUGCGAAACGUUGUCGUUCUAAUUUGCGUUGUGGAAGGACAAAGAAAAGUAUUAGAUCGAAUAGCCACUUGGAUAUCCUAAGGCUGCGCAUGACAACGCUUCUGUUCCCGGGAAGAGUUUUUUUUCAGAAAUGGUUCUUUUCUAUUUCUGCUCCGGAGAACAAUUUCUGAGUAAAAGAACCCGUUUGAUAACGACACAAAAUUUCUACUCCUGGAAUAGAAAAAGAAUAAAAAUGCGUUUGGUAACGCAACAAUUUCUUUUUUGUAUUUAUUCAUUUUUUAUUUUUGCCGACGGAUUGCCGCCGCCGGCGACUGGCGGCGGCGAUGACCGGUGGCUGCGGAGGCCGGAGGCGGCGGCAUUAGAAUAACGAAAUAAUGUGGCGUUACCAAACAGGUUUCUGUUCUUUUUUUGUUCCGGGGAACAAAAGAACAGAAACCAUGAGAAACAGAAACGUUCUCAUGCAGACCCUUAGCUGUACCUCCGCUAGAAGGCUCCAGAACCCUUUUUGUCAAUUUUGCAUGCAUUAGAAUAACGAAAGGACUUUUUCCAUCAGAACUCGAAUCAUUAUUCGUAUUUCCGAGAUUUAUGAAAUAACAAUGUUUACGUUAUUAUGUCAAAUACUAUAUAUUUUGAAUAUUUUUGAGGUUUCCCACCUCAAAAAAAAAAAAUUCUAUGAUAAAAUUUUCGAAAAAGCAAAAAAAAAGAAAUAGGCAGGAUAAGUGACAGAUUUCCGUGGAGAUGAUGUUAAACCCGUUAAAUUAAAUUAACAAGGAAAUAUAGGAUUUGCCAAUGUAUGUAAAAAUGACGGUCUUUAAUUAUUUUAUUUGGCUAACAUGGGUUAAUACUAAAAAAAAAUUCCAAAUUGAUAAUUUUUUUUGUGUCUAUUCAUUGGCUGAACAAGGGCCAAGGAGAAUACUUUUCGAAUUUGAUUAGAUGGCCCGUGACUGUUGAUAUUCAUUACGAUGAGAAAGAACUUAGUUCUGGUUUGGCUCGGCUAGUGAAACCAAAUAAGGGAUUCGGUUGCACCCGCAAAGUGGACCAAGACACUUGGAAUUUCAGAACAUAUAUAUACUUGGUUCGAUUUCGCUUUUCUAAUUGGACCUGAUAAUGAACCCAAAUGUAGAAUGGGAGACACCAAACUCAUUCGGACAAAACUUCAAUCCUUAGAAGGUUUCCCCCGCUUUUUCCAAUCCAUUUCUUGCAUGAAUUCAAUGCUAAUCGCACGAUCGAGGAUUGAGUUGAUGAUCAAUCAUCCAAUGCUAAUCGCACGAUCGAGGAUUGAGUUGAUGAUCAAUCAUCCAAGUGUGGUGUCGAUCCGUCCCACAAGGUAUGUCAACGUGACAUGAGUGGACUAGACUUAGGACCCGGGAAAGAGGAAGAAAUGAACGGAUCUUCUAAUCCCCAGACCUCUAUAUUCCACCUGAGGAAAACAUUCUACAGAGGCUUCCACUGCUUAUGGAUAGGCCUUCGGCCUGCUUAUGGAUUUAAUUAACUUUACCAAAUUUCUUGUAUAAAACUCGUCUUCCCCUUUGGUCACAAUAGUAAUUGCCUAUGGUCAAGCAGCUUCUCCUUUUUCCAUUCAAGACUGGAAGCUAAGCAAAGUCACGAAGUUUCAACUUUUACCCUGCUGAUCUAGUGAACCUCGAAGAGAUUGUGAAUCAGAAUAACCACAAGAAUCACAAACAUGGCAGAGCUUCAUGUUAAUAAUGGUCUCAGCUUUACUGCAAUGCUUCAGGAGAAAAGCUAAUCAUACUGAAAUUGAUCAGACAUGGCCGAAUGAGCAAAACACUGCACGUUACCGGAAUGGCAUACAGACAUAAAUCUUGUCUGCACAAACCGGCCAUCCAUAGAAAAAUUCAUGAGAGAUCCUCAACCUUUAUUGCCAAGUAAGCUGAGUCUUUGGACAUCCAUCAAGAUUAUCUACAAACAGAAAGGUGAGCCAGUUGACUUCGUCCUGAUGCCAACAAUGCUCAGUUACAUCACCCAAUCAACCUAUUAAUGAAACUAUCUGCUUUUAAAUCAACUCAGAUUGCCACCGCAGCCCAUGGAAAUGAGAUGGAUUCACUCUGCUUCACACAUGAAGGGUCCAUGUUGCUAUCACAAACAAGCAAUUUGCAGCAAGUGAGCCAUCACAAGGACAUUGAAUACACGAAAGUCAUCGCUUCCACUAAAAAGGAAAAUUGCUCAGAUAUAUCAAUGCAUCUACAUGCACAUUAAAGAUCAAAUGACAUCACUAAAUCCCUAGAACCCAGAUGGUGCAUAUGCAAUUCAUCAUAUCAGUCAAUUCUGGGUACAUAUUAAGAGUUGAUUCUGUAAUGCAUUCCUGCUUUUCAUCUAUUAAACUCAACUUUUAUUUGUUUUAUCAUCCAUAAAGCCCUAGAUGUUUCCCCACAACUAGACUAGAGAAGUUUCUGUCUAAUUGCUUCGCUUUUAGCCAUUGCCAUCAUAAUUGACUCACAUAGCAGGAUCCAAGCAUAACAAAGAUUUGAACCCUGUGCACAUCUCAGCUUCAUAUUUAUCUUUUCUCGAAAAUCUCAAGUUAAAAGUAGCAGAGACUUAACAAGGAAGUCAAUAACAAAUACAAGGAGUCUUUGUAGAAACACAAAAAUUUCCUCUUCAAACAGCAUGUUUCUUAACAGGGCCAUCAUAUUCAGUCAAGCUAGCUAUGAAAACAAGAGUUCCCCCAAUUAAGGGAACUUCAGUUUCCAGAUGAUCAAAAUCAAGCCAAUUGGAAGAUAUAGCCACUUCGUAAAUAUCACUGACAGAAUGAAAUGGCAAAUGCCCCCAGAGGAGGCGAUUACACAGGUGAUCAUUAUGGAUCUUUACAAUAAACCUCAUUAACUCAUUUGGGCUCUUUCGGAAAGUGCAGUUUGAUCAAGGCUGGAAGCUCAGCGAGUUCGACUUGUGGCUUGCCUAACAAUAUACUUUUCAACUUCUCGUCACAGUUCACCAGGUUCUUAUUGCUAGGAUCCUGCUCACAGAAACAAACAACACAUAUUUCAGAUAAGCAAUACAGCACAACUCCUGCAAGUGAAGACAUAAUCAGCUCAUGCAGGACUUCAGAAACAGAUAAAACGACCAUCUAACUUGAUGAAAUUUCACUCAGCAGCACAUCCUAGCAGCAAUUUCAGCGGAAUAAUUAACACGUUAUGAAGUUUCUCAAAACAUUCAAGCAGUGCCAAGAAGCUGCACAUCCGAUUGGCCACAUGCAAAUUGCUCGACCCCAGAAAAACAUUCACUUGCCCUCAGCCGGACACCAAACCCCAUUUGCUCACAAGCAAAUAGUUUCGCCCAAGAGAGGAAAAACUAUCAAGCAUAGCUAAACUUCAUCAAGAUCAAUUCAUGUAAACUACUGCCCUAACCAAAACUACCCCCAUCGCGGAUCACUCGUUUCCAAAUACUUCAACGUUCAUCAACCAGGCGCCCAAGAUAGCGAAUUCACUACCACACAAACCCUAGACGAACAGACCCGACCCAAUUUCGAACUGACAAUUCACUGCACGAAUAGCACGAUAAACCCGAGGGACUCGUUCCCGACAGCCACCCACAUACCGAAUCAACAUUAGCAUGCGGUUCGGCUGACAGGGACCACAACCUUCCCGGUGUGCGUGCUGGGGGGGGGUGACUGACCUGGAGGUUGUUGGACUUGAUGUAGGACCAGACGCUCAUGAAGCAGCCGAGGCGGGAGGUCUGGGACUGACCCACGAAGUCGCGUACGGUCGAGGGCAGGUUCACGAGGUCGAUCAGGUUGGCCAGCUUCUUGGGGUUGUCGGCGACGGCCUUCUUCAUCCUCUGCGGCAACAUUUUCCUCC
rnacentral:lncRNA from 1 species